rnacentral:rRNA from 1 species
UACGGAGGUGGCAAGCGUUACUCGGAUUGAUUGGGUGUAAAGGGUGUGUAGGUGGUAAAUUAAGUCGAACGUGAAAUCCCUUGGCUUAACCAAGGAACUGCAUUCGAUACUGAUUUGCUUGAGCAACGGAGAGGAAAGCGGAAUUCCCGGUGUAACAGUGAAAUGUGUAGAUAUCGGGAGGAACACCAGUGGCGAAGGCGGCUUUCUGGACGUUUGCUGACACUGAUCCACGAUAGCUAGGGGAGCAAACAGG